CUUUCCUCAUAGGUUUUGUCAUGCGCGUCCGUGUGAAGAGACCACCAAACAAGCUUUGUGUGAGCAACAUGGCUGUUUAUUUCACCUGGGUGCAGGCAGUCUGAGUUUGAAAAGAGAAUCAGCAAAUGGUGGUGGGAUUAUCAUUAGUUCUUACAGGUUUUGGGAUAGGCGGUAGAGUUAGGAGCAAUGUUUUGUGGGCAGCGGGGGGAUCUCACAAAGUACAUUCUCAAGGGUGAGGAGAAUUACAAAGAACCUUCUUAAGCGUGGGGGAGAUUAAAAAGAACCUUCUUAAGGGUAGGGGAGAUUACAAAAUACAUUGAUCAGUUAGGGUGGGGCAGAAACAAAUCACAAUGGUAGAAUGUCAUCAGUUAAGGCUAUUUUCACUUCUUUUGUGGAUCUUCAGUUGCUUCAGGCUAUCUGAUGUGUAUGUGCAUGUCACGGGAUAUGAUGGCUUAGCUUGGGCUCAGGGGCCUGACAGGUUUCAAAACUGCAUUUUCUGCAAAAUACAUGGGUUCGCAUACACAGUGAGAGUUAAGAUCUAUUUUAUCCCAAAUAAUUGCUGCAAGUUACAUUAUGCUUACCUCUAAGUGAGCAUUGUUGGUGUUAUUACCAGGGCUAUUGUUUAGCUGUUUAUUAUUUUCCUCAAAGAUGAUCAUUUAGAAAUCUUGCCCUAUGUCUAACAUAAGCGGGCAGCACUCAUUUCUCCGUGUCCCUCAGUCUGAGAAUGCCCUGUCUCCCUUUCUAAGUUUCUCAUCGUCUCCUGUCCCCAAGAAUUUGGAAAGCUUUGUAGCAGCCAAACAGAGACUCAGUUCCAUAGGCAUGUCUAGGCGCUGGGGCAGCAAGACUUGUUCUGUCUUUAGCUGCUUCCUGUAGGUAUCUUCCCAUGGAUGGAACAUGUGAUGUGCACCAUUUGUGAAAUCCAAGAGAUUGCAUUUUGAACACUUUAACUAGAGUGCCUAUGGAUAACUGCAUAUACUCCAAAUAUGUAAAAACAUAGUAAGUACAUUGUGCUAAUAUGUAGAAGAUGCAAUAUGAAUAUCUAGGAAAUCAUCUUAUAUGUGAAAACAUUCUUCUGAGUGCUGAUAAUUCCCAAUCUUUCAAGGACACACUUCCCCAGAGUCACUCACAUUAUUUUUCUUCCUCCAGGGACUCAUUUUGAAUUUGAAUUUCAUUCUUUGAAAAACGAGAUAGAAACAUAACUACAUGCCUGAAUCACUUUGCAUCAAACACAGACCACGGGAAUAGUUCUCAUGAAAACAGUUUAUUUUUAAUAGUAAAGACUGGAAAGAAUUACUCUGAUGUAUUUAUCUCUAUGGUGUGCAAUAUAGGCAGUUUUUUUCUGCUUCUUUGUACUCUAAUUUGUAAAAUAAACAUUUUUUAAAUCUGAUAAUUUUGUAACCCAAUAAUAUAUAAGUUAUAAAAAAAGAAAAAAGUAAACUUUUUAAUAGCUUAUACAGGAGGAACUAGUUCAUAAAACCUAUAAAUGUUUAAACACACUACACAGUAAAUAAAUUUUUAUCACUCAUAUAGAACAUCCAAUGAAAUAUGAAGUUACUGUCUAACUGCAGCCGCUAUAUCUAAUCCCUCCUGUGAAGAAUCUCAUUCUCUGUUGGAAACCUCCAAAGAAAUGUGGGUGUUUCCAGGAAGAACCCAAUUAUUGAUCAGGAAUAUUUUCCACCCACCCUGCAGAUCUAAACUUUUCACCUGUCUCUUAAAACUGAACAUCCUAGACCUCACAUGCCCUUAGAAUCUAUUAUGUCCUAUCUUUUAAGCCAGUCUGAGCCUAUGUUUUAAGCCAGUCUCAGAUUUCAUCUAGGGGUUGCCCUUCUCACUGACUCCAGAUGCCAGCCCACCUGUCCGCACACUUGAAGGGAGGCAGUGUAGGACUAGGCUGGAAAUGUGUGCAUUCUUUUUAGGAAGUAGAAAGCAAGCUUUUUAGAGUGGAUGAUGCAAACAUUUAUAUGAAUAAACUCUAGCUCUGUAUUUAGUAACCAUAACAUGUCCACACAAACAGGUCUUGCUGAGAUGCCUGUACUUGGGAGAAUUGAUGCUGACUUUGGGUUAAACUGAAGCUACCUGGACAUCUCUUUCUUCUUCCUUACAAUAUGUAUUACCUUCGUAUUAUUGAUCACCUGGGUGGGACCCUGAUGUUAAGCAGGGAGCACAGCGUUGGAGAGUGUAGGGGGUUGGCCCAUGUAACUGUUAAAGGUUAAGUUCCUCUAGCCCUACACACUCAACAAACACAGCCAGCACUCUCAGAUUUCCAGAAUGCCUUCCAGGUGAGAAUCACGGUUUUGGGGCUUUCCUAGAGUGGCAUUUCAGGCUCACUAGGAUACCUACCCUGCCCCUGAUACCAGGUGUGGUGACUCCUGGAGACUUCUCAGCCAUGCAGUGUGGGUGGACUGGCCUCUGAGUUCCUCUAAGCUUCCUUGCCUUUAUCUGCAAACAUCCUGGGAUCCCACAGUCUGGUUUCUCCUACAGCCUAUUGAGGAAGGAGGUAGGUACCCUCUAGGGGUGGGACUAUGGGCACUCCCCUCCUCUCAAAACCUGGUUCCUCUCCACAUAAGGGAAGGGAACAUACAUCCCUCACCAUUGGUGCUCCAAUGAGACCACCAUAACCAUAGGGUUGGAAACCCACCAUCCAGUGCAGAGAUUUUCUUUCCAGUUCCUGCUUCAGGCCUUCAAUCCUGCUGUCUCAAAUAUGCUCAUGGGGCAUUGGCCCAACUCUUUCCUGAGAAGGCUGAGUGGCUACGGCCGCCCUCGCCUAGACAUCAGCUCCACAGUCAUUUCAUCAGUCUGGGAUGGGGUUUCCUCAUGUGUCAGGUAAGGAACCUGAGGCUCAGACAAGCAGAGAGCUGUCUCCAAGGCCAGAGCUGGGCAGUGGAAAACCCAGGGCUCAAGUUACACACCAUGCAGAGCCUUGUCUUCUUUAACCUGCCACCUCUGCUGACCCUCAUCAAUGUCAAUGCCUCCCAGAAACACAUUUACAGUCUAAGCAACAGGAUCUUCUCAAACCUGUUUUUCCCACCCCAUGGAGAAGGGCAACGGCAUUGGGGACCCACUGAGAUAGGAGGCACCUCCCGAUGGCCUUGGGCUCCAACCCAGGGCUGCCUCCUCAGGGGUGCUGUGUUUCAGGGGCUUUCUCAAGGUGGGGCUCCUGAUUGCUAGAGAGGGGCUCUCAUCCUCAGAGGAGCUCAAUCCUAGAUCCAGUCAGUCCUUCAUUGAGUGCUUCUGAAACUUGAGCUGCUCAGAACCUCCUGGAGGGCUUGUUAGAGCCCAGAGCGCUGGGCCAGCCCCAGUUCCUG
rnacentral:lncRNA from 10 species